rnacentral:lncRNA from 1 species
UCAGUAUUUAAUAGUGACAAAUGGUCAUGUCUGGCCUCAUUCCUAGGCAGUUGAAAAUGAAUUCAAGUAUUUCAUCCCAAAUGAAGAUUGGAGAAGCAUCCUUAGGGGAGCAAAAGGACACAGACCAACCAGGUCCUCCCGCUGUCCAAGAUAGGCCAAGAGUGGGUGCAGGUGAAACUUCCCCUACAAGCUCUUCAGUCCAGGCUACAAAGAGGGCACCGCUUCUCUUCUGGGAGACAUAGACCCAAAAAGGAUGUUGUUCAAUUGAAGAGGAAUUGGAGAAGAUUUCUGAGAGUGAAGAUAUCAUGCAGAGUAAUCAGCUCCGAAGCCAACACCAUAAUCUCUUCACAUGUCAGAGCAGUGCACAAAUCGUUCCAGGGAGAAGUCAGGGAACGGGAGAUGGGAGCCAAGCCCCACUCAGCCAUGGCAGCACAAAGCCACAGCGGGUUUGGUGAAGCCAAUUAAGCUGCACAAGUGCCUGUAAAUCAG